UACGGAGGGUGCAAGCGUUAUCCGGAUUUAUUGGGUUUAAAGGGUCCGUAGGCGGACUCGUAAGUCAGUGGUGAAAUCUCAUAGCUUAACUAUGAAGCUGCCAUUGAUACUGCGGGUCUUGAGUAAGGUAGAGGUAGCUGGAAUAAGUAGUGUAGCGGUGAAAUGCAUAGAUAUUACUUAGAACACCAAUUGCGAAGGCAGGUUACCAUGUCUUAACUGACGCUGAUGGACGAAAGCGUGGGGAGCGAACAGG
rnacentral:rRNA from 1 species